GAAGUAAAAAGUCGUAACAAGGUUUCCGUAGGUGAACCUGCGGAAGGAUCAUUGACGAGCCCCGAAGUCACCGUGAACUUGUGUGUCCGUGCUUGCUGGCGAGAGCGUGUUGGUGCGCGGCGCGCACCGGGACUCUCCCGCCCUCCAAAAACCCCCCAAGGCGCCGAUAUUGCGCCAAGGAAAAGAAGUGAUGGGGGGGAGCGGUUGGAUUUAUCCUCCGUUUCCCUUCAAGCUGCGCGAGGAGCGCAUGCGAAAGAUUGAUUAAUGAAACGACUCUCGGCAACGGAUAUCUUGGUUCUCGCAUCGAUGAAGAACGUAGCGAAAUGCGAUACUUGGUGUGAAUUGCAGAAUCCCGUGAACCAUCGAGUCUUUGAACGCAAGUUGCGCCCGAGGUGAAUCCACCAAGGGCACGUCUGCCUGGGCGUCACACAUCGCGUCGCGCUCCCCCCUUUCGUACCAGCCACGCUCGCGUGGUUCGGAUGCGUGAGUUUUUUGGGGGAGGUGCGGAUGGUUGGUCUCCCGUGCGCUCGCUCGCUCGGCCGGCCUAAAUGUGUCGCGUUCCGUUGGCAUCGGACGCCACGAGCAAUGGUGGUUGCCUCUUCUGUCGACUUCGCAUGUCGUGGCGCCGAGAGGCCCUCGUGACUCGCGGCGGGAACUCCCCUAUGGGCGACGCGAGGCACUUCGGUGCCUCCGCGAGAGCCCCUCGACCGCGACCCCAGGUCAGGCGGGACUACCCGCUGAGUUUAAGCAUAUCAAUAG
rnacentral:rRNA from 1 species